CUCUCGCGACUCCUCACUAGCGUGCUGGAUGCGCACCACGUCGGUAGCUUCCCCACGUUCUCUCGUCGCUCGCGUUAAGAACGCCAACAGCUGACUUUACGUAUAUCCACGGAGUUACUGCAGGAAAUAUCGACCGUGAUUGUUCUCUUGGCUUCUAUCGUCCGUCCUUCGCGUGCACUAUUUGCACGAGACAACAGAUAUCGCCGAGUAUAAACAAAGUGCUGGGAGAAUCAUCAUCGGG